GAUCGUUAGUCUAUUGAUCCCAUCUCUGGCGAUUAUUCAAAUUAAUAAUUAACUAGUAAUAUGUAAUUAUAAGUUGUAGCUUUUGAAUAACGAACUCAGAACGCCUAAUUUAACUCUGAAUUGGCCUAAGGAAUUAGGGAAUUAUUGUGUAUAUUAGUGAGUUGUACACCAAGGAAUUAGGUGCAAUGGUCGUGUUAAUUCGUCGUAAUACUUAACAUAUUAUAAAUUUGAUUAAUGCAUAAGAAUGAGUAGGGGAGUCGAAAUAAGAUCUAUUAGGUGCAAUGGUCGUGUUAAUUCGUCGUAAUACUUAACAUAUUAUAAAUUUGAUUAAUGCAUAAGAAUGA
rnacentral:lncRNA from 1 species